UUUACUGCUGAGCGGGCGGAAUGAGACGGAUGUGCUUCCCGUAGCGAAACGUUUUGCGCUCGUGGGGAGCGGAGCUCGAAGGGAGCUCUGAGGGAGAGCCGGGUCUGGGGGGCGUCCUUGCCCGCCCCCUUCCUCAAGUGUGCAUGUGCUGCUGCUGUGGAGCUGCGGUAUUGCGUCUGCACCGCCAGGAAGGAAGUGUGCGGAGGAGGCCGUGUCUGCUGGCAGCGAGGUGGUGUUCUGAGAAAAUGGUGGUGUAUCUUCUAUCUAGACCGCUGCCGGGGCGUGUGAAACGCUUGUUUCUCGGAUGAAAUCAUGACUUGGGUGCUUACUGCAGUGCAGCUAUAGAAAAGCCUGGUACCCGCUGCCUGCUAGGUGUCACCAGAGCUUUACUACACACCUUGUUUUUGAGUACAAAACAUCCAUUGAUAAUAGGAGAAUCCAGAUCGUAUUUUGGGUUUUCUUCAGAUUUGUGAGGGAGAGCUGUGGAGGCUUCUCACGUUUCAGCCGUCAUGUGCAAAGUGGUGAGCGAGGUUUCACUGCGGUGCUGUCAGGAGUUCUGCAGCUCUGGGUAGUGCUGUGCUGUCCCUUUUAGUUCUGGAAACAAACAAAAGUCCUGUGAAUUCCAGAAACAAUGUGAAAUUUUUAUUUUUUAUUUUAUUUUAAUCUGAGGGAAGCAUGAGACCAUGGAGCGACUCGCAGUUGUUAAGAGCAUAGUGCUACAAUGAGGUGCUUCUAUUGAGAGGAUCCUAAACUCUCGAAGUUCUCACAUUUCAUUUCUGAAGAGCAGACGAAUUUCUUAGAGUCAGAUGUGAAGUUUUCCUCCUAAACCUAAUGCUUUAAAUUACAACUGGUAUCAGCUGUAUAGUAUCCCUUUGUUCUUCUGGAAAGCCAUUGUGCUCCUCAACAAGAGCCUCACACUGCACUGCUUACUGAAGAUGCUGGUAGACCACAAAUAGAAGAACCUGUAAAUCAGGACCUACAGGAAGUACACUGACUGAAGAAUGCAGAAGAGACACAAGACCUGUUUUGCUAUGUACAAAAUGAAGCUGCCAUGAUGCACAAUGAACAGAAAUGGCUUGUGGAGAAACCUAAUCUGUGGGUUAAGUUCAUCUCUUUGUACAAGUAAGAUUAUAAACUUUAAAGAUGUGGCAAUUUGAUGCAAUUUGUAUAUGACAUGCAACUGUUGCAGACAGGCUAAAAGGGAUUUAUUUCUGUAGCCUGGCUUCUAGCAGUCCUGAGUAUGUGAGUAUGGGGGCCAGUUAUCCUAAUAUUGAUGCUUAUGAUAUAAAACCAAAUUGUGUUUCAGGAAUGUGUUAAUUUAAUGCAUGCAAUUAAAAAAAAAAAAAAAAAAAAAAAAAAAAGGGUAUUUCUAAAUAUAUUUUUGUUACAAGAUUUAUUGAGUUAUAAUGCUGACCAGAAGGGUCUGGGAAAGCAUUAAUGGAGGAAAAGUAUUUAACUAAGUAUUUAAAUACACUGUACAAACUUGCACUGUCAAAGCACAGAACAAAAUACUGACUUAAAUUGAGCUACAUCCAUUUUAUCUCAAUUCACUUAGCAUUGGCUCACUAAGCGUGAUACGUUCCAGGGUGUGUGUUGUUGUGCUUCAUUAGUCUUGCUUCAGUGUGAAAUGAUCUGAAAAGUAUAAUCUCAUUAUCUGCAGUUAAUUGUUGAUCAUUAGCUUGUACUUAAGUCUUGUCAAGCUUGAAUUUCAAGAUUUAAGCUGGAGAUACUUCUCCUAUAUUGGCAUUUCUAAUUAGAAAAGCAAUAUUUGUUAGACAUCUCAAAGUUGUUAACCUGUAAUUCAGCACUGAGCCUGCUGAAGUUGAAGAAGCAUUUUGGCAACAUUCUAAGAAACAUGAUUUGAGUUUUGGGUGGUCUUGUGUAGAGCCAGGAGGUUAUGGGGUUGCUGGUUUGGUGGGGGGGGGUUGGUUGUUUUUUGGUGGUUUUUUUUUUGUUGUUGUUGUUUUGUUUUUUCCCAGCUGAUGUACCCAUUUUACUGUAUGAUAAGACAAAUUGUUCUCCUGUUAACUGGAGUGUUAACUGUUAAUGUACAUGAGGUGCAUUUAGAGUGAGGUUUCUGUACAUCACUGUACACUUAGUGAUAUUGCCCUCGACUAUAAAAUCUUGGGAGCUAAGGUUUCCUUAGGACAUAAAUUUUUUUGUUUUAUUGAGAUCGGAGGGGAAACCUGUAUUUAAGAAUAUUAUUGUAUAUGUAACUUUCUGGGAGGAAAAAAGGGUGUAUAGGUACCAUCGUCAGUAGCUGAUGAAAGCUAGACGACUGUGUGUCCUGGUUCUGCUGAAGUGCAAUGCAUGAGACCUCGUGUUAGAUUUUAGCUAAUCCAAGUGCGUGUUUCACACAUGAAUCAGUCUUCACAACUUCUCUGCUUUCAGAGCAAAUCAAGGAUUACAGUGCCCCCUACAGCUCUGCGGUUUUUGUUUUUUUCUUUGAAUCCUUUGGUCGAGCUAAAUGCAGAUACUUGCCAGAUACACUACCAGUAAAAAUAAUAGUGGCUCAGGGAAGCCUUUUUUAUUGUUCUUUAUUUUUUCAAUUUUUAAGAAUGAUCUUCAGUUUCUAGUUGAUUUUCUCCGUUGCUUCUCAGAGAUUUUCAUCUGUCCCUGAGCUACUUAUUUCUGUCUUAUUAGCACUGGUGCACUGUGAUGUUGGAAAUUGCUGGUUGUGGCUCUCCUGAGCAGAAACUAAAUUCAGCUAGAGAAGGGUAUGCUGAGAAGUCUGUGGUGACUGUGAUUUCCCCUUCUUGACCACUGCUUAUUGAAGCACGUGCUCCUGGACAUGUGAUGGGGAUGCAGCUAUGCAGCUCUUCCCUAGUUGAUUUAAGUGGAGCAGGAAGAGAAACCCAAAACAGGAAAGACUGAUUUAAAUUAAGACAACACUGGCUUAAGAAGAAGUGACCAUAAAUAAAUGAGAGCUGAUAGACUUGAAUUCUAUGAGCUUUAAGUCUUGGAAGACCAAGGGUUCAGAACAGUAUAAUGAAAGGAAUUAUGUCGCAUAUUUGUGUAUGAUAAGUUUUUGGACUUAACCUGAAUAUCUCCUCCAGUCUCAUGCCUUUAAUGAAGCUUCAGUCUGUGAGGAAGUUCUCUCAAAAUUUUAAUGAAAGAUUUCAUUCCAAAUAGUUUUCCUUGACCUAUAGAGUUCUUUAGAAGUCUGUGAUAUGUCUCUGUUUUUAUUCCUAAGGGUUUUUGCAGAGACUUGGAUUGUGGAGAUGGUUGACCUUUUUCUUAAAAAAAAAAAAAAAAAAAAAAAGAAAAAGGGCUGGAGUGGAAGUGGUAGAGAUGUCCAAGUCCAUGACUUGGAAGUUUUCAGGAAGUUUGGGAGAAUUGAACGUUUCUCCUUCACUAUUUCUUGAAAGCAUCCUCCUUCAGGAAAAUGCUUAGGCAUAUGUUUGUCAGCUGCUCACGUGUUAUAACAUAGGUGAGGUGCCUAUGAGGUAGAGAAGUAUAAAUUUUGUUUGAAAACUGUAGUUACUAUGGCCAAUUAAAAUCAAGAGUAUGCAUGGCUUUGCUUUUGGGUGAGGAAAGGAGAUGACCUUUCAAAUCUUGACCAUCCAAAUACAUUUAGAAAAAAAUUUACAUGGCUUUUUCUCUUACGUCAGCCGAUUUGGACUUAGAUGUUCCUUUCUUUUUCUUAAUGAAAAGGAGAAACCUCUAUUCUUUGAUGUCACACAAAAUUAUGCAUGCUUCAUGCUGGGCAGCUGAUGAAGGGAGCAUUUUCUUGUCACACCUGUUUCUCAGCCAGUAAAUUCUCCUUGAUGCAGGUGGUAAUGAAUCAUAUAUUUUUCAGUUUUAUCAGGAUUCUCAUCAGUUAGGAUUUCACGUUCAGAACUGUGGGAAACUUCAGUGUGAUGACUUAAGGUUUCUGGUGCUUUCUAGUUAAUUUUUUUUUAUAACAGUAAAUCAGACUCUGAGAUGUUCUGGACUCAUUAGAUCCAAUGCAGCAUGGAGUUUACAGGAUACAGGCUGGAAUUCUGAUGUGGGUGUGUGCUGAUCUUAUGCUGUAUAUCCCAUAUGGUUCAUUAAUUGAGUUUCAAAUACCUACCUGGGACAGUAGAUACCUGGUAAUCUGGUGAAAAUAUAGGAAUAAAGCAAAAUGAUUUUUGCAGGAAACAUCUUCAUUCACAGUACUAAUCAGAAAAGGCCAGUUAGAUUUUUGUGCCGUAGAAAAAAAUGCAUAUUUUUGAAAAAUAAAGAGGGCACCAGGAACAAAGGAAGCAUUACAAGCAUUAAUGUACCCUUUUACAUAUAAAACUUUGUUCCAUUAAAAGAUUCGUGUUCAGAUUAGCCGCAAGGUUGGCCUUAGCUUAUGCUAUUGGGCUAGUCAGAAAGAUAUACAAAUUCGUUCAAGGUUUUUGGUAAAGGCUCUAAAAGUUAAUUGAAAAAAAGCAUUUUGAAAUGGGGAUGAUCUGUGAAAUACUGUAGCCUUGGUCUUGCAUUCUUUCACAGUAUGUGGGAUUCAGGGAAUAAACCGUUCCAAAGUACUUUUGUCUUAAAACAGCUGCAAGAACAUUUUAAAUUUGUUGCUGAAGAAGAGAUUAAAAAUUGUAAAUGCUUCCAGCUGCUCUGAUUUAGGAGCACUAUUGUUAAACUUCUGCUAUUUUCAACAUGCAUACCUGUGUUUGUAGGAAUACUUCAACAUAUACAGGACAAAAUGUACUAAUGUUAUUCUCUUGCUUUUUUUUAAGUGACUAAAACAACAGGGCUUAUGCCCUGACUGUUUAGGAUGAGUAUCUUCAUUAUUAAUGCAGUUCAAAGUAAAUUGAUUUCUCUUAAUUGAAACAGAUAUUUGUAAUACCAUGUUUUGGACAGCAUUGCUAUUGACAUCUUAAAGUAUUGCUUUGACCUCAGGAAAAUUUUUUUUUUCCAUGUUUUACUAUUCAUAAUUUAUUUUUUCCUAGAUCACAAAAUAGUGUUUUCUUUAGUGGUGCUGCAUGUCUUUAUUUUCUGAUCCUGGUUGAGGUUAUCAGUCCUCUUUUUGGUCUUUAGAAUGCAUUUGAAAUUAAACAUAGAAUAGAGAGGAAAAAUGCUGAAGACCUGGGCUUCAAGAUAAUCCUGCCAGAGGCCUCCGAUUCUUAUUGGCAAAGAUAAAGCUAGCAUGAAGUGAUAGUAAAGAAGGGAAAAUUUCUGUAAAAUGCUCUGGAGAGUUUCAGUCAGCAUUGUUUUUUAAUAUAAAUUCUGUUUAUGUUCAUCUGCAAUACUUCCCCUCUCUCCUUUUUUACUUCUGUAAACUCAUGGCUUCAUUUGCAUUUGUUUGUUAGGUGUUGGUUUUGGUGUUUUUUUUCUCAGCAUGAAAGCCAAUGACAGAAGGAGUCACGAAUGAUAGAGGUAGAUUCUGUUGUGACACGGAGACUGAGUUCAGCCAACUUAAAAUACAGGUUAUAAUACAUUGGUGGGACAAUGCUGCCCUUUGAUUUUAUAAUUUCAGUUCUUGAGAUUUGUGAGAAAGUAGACCAGUAAAUAAUGUCACAGGUGUAUGCCUGAUACUUAUUGAAAAUCAGCACCUGUCAAAUCUGAAUAGCCUAGCUCUGAGACUCAGCUAGUGCCCUAAACUUAAGCAUCUGUUAUCUGUUGUAUUUAAACCGUGAAAGAGACAGAGGUGGAUGGUAUUAACAGUGCUUUCUAGGAGGUUAGAAGACUUUUCUCAUACUUUCUUUUUUUCUGUGGUUCACAUUAUAUAUUCCAUGAGAUGCUGUGGGACUUCAUGCUGAGCUGUCAUUAUUUUUAAUGAAAGAUGAAAUUCUGAGACAGAGCAAGAGUCAACAAAAGCAAUGGCACUCCAUUUCUGGUUUGGGAAAAAAAUCUGGGCUCUUCAGUGUUCAGCUUUUAAGUUACAAUUAGAAAUUGCUUAAGCAAAUCUGAAAUAGUGGUGGAUAUUUCUGGUGUUGAAAAUAUAGUUUGGCUGCCUUCAGUAAGCUAUCAGAUAUGAACUUCUGUCUUUCUUUAUUUUAAUUAAGGAAAAGCUAUAGCUCUUGGUUUGUCAUUUUAAGACUAGAUAUGAUGCAAUAUUUAUCAUCUCCCUAGAAGAGUUCUACUGAUUAGUUACAACGUUUUGUUUCUACCAUUUAUGUCCAGUUCAUCAAGUUUCAGCUUCCUGGAAUUGUCUUUUGUUAUGCCUGUAUCUGCUUGUUUAGGACCCUAUGUUAGAUAUACUCAUUUUGAGAAUUUUGUUAGCAACACUUUCUGUUUAUAAUGUUAAAUUGAGUUUCUUGACUCAGUCUUUAGAAUCUAAGAUUUAUUAUAAAUUUUUAUCAAAACUUUUUGAAGCUUUUCCAUUCCUUAGAUUCAUAGAUAAGAUUUUUUUAAAUACAUUAAAUAUUUUCAUUGUAUUUUGUCUUUAUGCCAAGAUUAGUGCUGACUUUCUUGGUUCCUAAACUUUUGUGCUGAGGAUGGGUGUACUUUGUGAGUUAGUAGCUUUUGUAGUCUAUUUUUAUGGAGUCUUUCUGUAGAGUUUCCUGCCAGUGUAUAUGUUUGCCCUUAUUGUUGCUCUGAGAGCCAAAAAAAAAAAAAAAAAGCAUGGAUUUCUGAGUCAUACUGUAAACUUAAAUGGAAAUAAAACCUGUGAUGUCAACUACUGCUCUGAAGAAUUGAUGCAGAUAUUGAUAAUGAGGCAUAAACAACAGACACAAAACAUUGUUAACUUAUUUACCUAACAAAAACAUACUGCACAUGAAGUGUUUAGCAAAAUUAAAUGUAUAUCCAUUACAUCACAAAAAUUAUUGACAAUUAACUGCUUUUAAUGUAUAGAAUUUCUGCAUGUAGUCAGACCUACUUGUUAAGUGGAAGGCACAAGAAAUCCUUUCGUGGAUACCUGUUGACUAAUUUGCAUUAAGAGGUAUUUCUCCGUUACCUCUAUUAGUAUUGGCUUAAAUCCUGAAUGAUUUCAUUAUCUACGUAAAUGCUUAAUCUCUUGGAAACCCUGCUAAGCUCUUGCCUUCACUGAAAGCUAUGAUAAUUUGUUGUAGUUAUUUCUGUAUUUAAAUAAAUUGUUUUCAGAUUCUAUGAAAUGUUCCUCUGUUUUCCUUUGUAAUAAUGGAGAAGUACCAAUUUCAUCCUUUCUAUCAUGUUAUUUUACAUUGUUUUGCUGUUUGCUCUUAGUAGUUCCUUCAAGCCAUACCAGGUGUUUGUUGGGGCUUUUUUGAUGUGUUUUUUUUUUUUUUUUCUUUCAGUUUGUUGGUGCAGCCACUGCAAUUGUAUAUUUGUGAAAACUGUAAUUUGUGCUGCAAUU